rnacentral:rRNA from 1 species
CAGUAGCCGCGGGAAUACGUAGGGUGCAAGCGUUAAUCGGAAUUACUGGGCGUAAAGCGUGCGCGGGCGGUUAUAUAAGUCAGAUGUGAAAUCCCCGGGCUCAACCUGGGAACUGCAUUUGAGACUGUAUGGCUAGAGUGUGUCAGAGGGGGGUAGAAUUCCACGUGUAGCAGUGAAAUGCGUAGAUAUGUGGAGGAAUACCGAUGGCGAAGGCAGCCCCCUGGGAUAACACUGACGCUCAUGCACGAAAGCGUGGGGAGCAAACAGGAUUAGAUACCCCGGUAGUCCCUGUCUCUUAUAC